rnacentral:rRNA from 1 species
GAUGAACGCUGGCGGCGUGCCUAAUACAUGCAAGUCGAGCGAACGGACGAGAAGCUUGCUUUUCUGAUGUUAGCGGCGGACGGGUGAGUAACACGUGGAUAACCUACCUAUAAUACUGGGAUAACUUCGGGAAACCGGAGCUAAUACCGUAUAAUAUUUUGAACCGCAUGGUUCAAAAGUGAAAGACGGUCUUGCUGUCACUUAUAGAUGGAUCCGCGCUGCAUUAGCUAGUUGGUAAGGUAACGGCUUACCAAGGCAACGAUGCAUAGCCGACCUGAGAGGGUGAUCGGCCACACUGGAACUGAGACACGGUCCAGACUCCUACGGGAGGCAGCAGUAGGGAAUCUUCCGCAAUGGGCGAAAGCCUGACGGAGCAACGCCGCGUGAGUGAUGAAGGUCUUCGGAUCGUAAAACUCUGUUAUUAGGGAAGAACAUAUGUGUAAGUAACUGUGCACAUCUUGACGGUACCUAAUCAGAAAGCCACGGCUAACUACGUG